rnacentral:lncRNA from 1 species
GGGCAUUCAAAGGUGAGGAAAGCAAAUCACUGCCCCUCCAAAGCUCACAAUCUUCUGAGGAAGACAGACCUGCUGCUCCUAUACACUCAGUGCAAAGUGAGCCCCAUAGUGAAGGCAUGUCCACAUGCUAUGGGCCUAGAGCCCAGGGAGCAGCUAACUGUAGUGCAUAAGGAAGUGGCUUCCCAGAUGCAGGUUUAGAGGGACCUCUAAACACCUCUAAGCAGAGUUUAGAGGGACAAAUAUGCCAGGCAAAAGCAGGGGAGAUGGGAGACAUUCCAGGUAAAGGAUCACCCUGUGCAAAGCCAUCCUGACAUGAAAAAGCAUCAGAUGGCAGACAACUGCCCGGUAGUUUGUCCCCAUCUGUUGUUGGGAAAAAGUGCUGGGUGAGAGGCUUCAAAGGAAGCCCACUGCCAAACCUGUGUACUUUCCCAGAGGCAAUUUGGAUUUUUUUCUCCUGGCAUGAGAAGCCAGUUGGGUGUUAAGGCAUGGAGAAACAUCCUCAAAUUGUAUUUUUGAAAGAUAUAUAGUGAUAAGAAGAGAUAAAGAGAGGAAAUGGAUCGGUGGGGGGAGGGGUCAUAAGACCUUUGGCUGAUGUGGAGAAUGUUUAGGGAGAGUUGUUCAUUGAGUAGCUGGGGAGGAAGAAAAGGUUGUGCCUCUCAGCCUUUCCAGUCUUCCCAGUCAGUCUUCUUGUCAACUGGGAAGACAUUGAAAACAUUGUCCUCAGCCAGCUUCACAAGCCAGAAAUCAGCAUCCUCAUCAAAGAUGCCUUCCUUGAACCACCUUCUUAACACCAGUCUACACCAGCAGCAUCUAACCACAAAUCCUUUUUGUCUGGCAGACACUGGUGACUGUGUUGCCUCUUGGCUUGGCUUGAGUUCCUGAAGGGUAUAACUGCUGUGUGCGUUGCUCCUUGAUUAGUAUACAAUUCCACUGGGCUUGGUGGCCAAGGGGUGAUCCCAGAUGGAAGAAUGGUUUCUGGUCCCUGAAGCAGAAUGCACUACAGUGAAGCCCUGGCUUGACAUUGUCAAAGAAGAAUGUUACCAAGCCCCAUGUGUGGACAUGUGAACUAGCUGCUGCUGUGUGACCCUGAACCCCAAAGAGCCUCACCUAAUUAAAACAGCUAGGUUAAAUAUAGGAUGAUGCAGUGCUGGAAUUUUAGAUCAACAAUGGAUCAUUUCUUAGGAUAAGGAGUUCACUUUGUGGCCCAGUGGAAUAGAGUCUGACUAGGAACCUUGAGGUUGCGGGUUUGAUCCCUGGCCUUGCUCAGUGGGUUAAAGAUCUGGCGUUCCCAUGAGCUGUGGUGUAUGUCACAGAUUCGGCUCAGAUCUGGCAUUGCUCUGGCUGUGACGUAGGCUGGCAGCUGUAGCUCUGAUUUGACCCCUAGCUUGGGAACCUCCAUAUGCCGUCGGUACAGCCCAAAAAAACAAACAGAAAAAUGAUUCUUUCUUCAUCUGCGAUACAAAUUUAACUGAGCAUCCUGGAUUUUUAUUUGCUAAAUCUGACUAGUCCAAACCUAGUCUACCUCAGCUAUAUCUUGUAAUGUGUAGUAUCUCUUCUAACAAUAAAUCAAUGGCUCCUUUUGUCUUUAGCAUGGGGAGAUCAGGUGAUCUCAGUUGUUAAGUAACUUGACACUGGUUCUCCCUUACCCUACAUGCAAUAAACUCAACUUUGUGGGUUUUUUUAUUUUUAAAAUUUUUUGUGGUAUUUGUUUUUUCCUUUGAACACACACACACACACACAGUAAAAAAAGAACACCAAACCGAAUGUAAAAAUACAGCCAAAAACAUCUUGGUUGGUUCAGUAGAAUUCAGACAGGGACACAGACCAAACGAAAUAUGGACUAUCUCCUUUGAACAGAAUUAAUGAAUAGCUGUAUUUUGCUGGGGAUCCUGGGUGUCUGGGUUGUGCUUCUUUCUUAUUUUUGUUGUUGUUUAUUUAACCUUUCUCAUCUAAGUAACCUAAGCUGAGGGCAAGGAAGAGAGAUGAGCUGCCUCUGUGUCUGGAAGGCACACACCAGUCUUGCUGAUUCAUGAGAAUCUUAAGGGCUUAUUGAUGGCAUCUGUAAAAAACUCUGAGAGCUGGCUGUGCCGAUGAGACGUGUCUCAUCCUGUACCGAAAGGUCUCGGAAGAGGAGGUUGCACAAUCUGGUGCGGCAACCUGUUCGAGAGGAGAAGGUUCUUGUUGUUCCAGUUUAACACAAACCCACUUCCUCUUGUGCUCUCUCCCUUUGGAAUGAUGGCUUGCUCUCAUCCUCCGCUGUGGCUAAGCUGUAUCUUAUGCUUCUUCCUUCCUUCUGCAUGGAAGCAUGCUUUAUCCCUUAUGGUGAGGCCAGUGCCAUCAAGGAUCUGGGAAGAUGUUUUGAGCUGUGUUGUUAAAAACCAAAAAGGUGUGAUGAUGAGCUAAAUUAAGUGUGCUUAAUGCGACUGGAAAGUAAAGCCUUCCAGACAGCAUAGUAAAACAUGUUUCUCGUAUUAAAAAAAAAAGGGACAAAAAUAAUAAUAAUUGGAUCUAAAGAGGCUGAGCAAUAUUGCUGAAAAAAAUUGGGUUAAAUGACAGAGAUGAUAAUUUUGACACUAACUAGAUACAUCAGGAAUCCAUCCUGCAAAAUCCUUACUGUUCAGCUGUGGCUUCUUGGAAGUCUAAUUAAACAUGCUCACAAAGGUGCCCUCAACAGUUUUUUCUAUUACUCGCCAUUUUACAUCAGUGGAAGGCCAGUCUUCAAAAUUCCUACAUCAUUCUUUCAUGUAAUUUCAAAGAGAAGAGAAUGGUGGUCUAUUGUUCGGUUGAGCAUAAAGAAGCCAGUGUCUCAUGAUAAAGAGGGAAAUCUGCCUGCUUGUUUGUGAGGACUGCUGGGAGCCAGGAAGCCAAAACCUCGGAUCUGCUCCCCUGCACAAUAUAUUUAUAUCUGCUGGGCUGAGUGUGAACCGCCAUCAAAUGCUAAUGGCUUUGGGUAUUUGUUUUUAGUAAAUAAUUCAGUAAAUACCCUGGGAAGCACCCAUGAUUGUUUGCUGUUGCCUAUAUCUUUUGUGAACGUACAGCUUUUGCAAAACCAGAAGAUAGAGAAAUCUAUGCAGGCUAAGCGUGGGGGAAGCAGCCAAGUGUCAGCCCUGAGCACAGGCUCAGGAACAAGAUAUCUCUUGCAUGUAGCAUCUGGCUGGGGAGCACUCUCUAGCUCUGUAGUCUCCGGCAUUUGUUAGCCUCUUUGUGCCUUAAUUUCCUCACCUGUGAAAUGCAGAGUUGUGUGAGUGAAGUGGAUCAGUAAGGAGAAGCUCCACACAGAUAACCUUUGUGCAUGUGGUGUGUGCAUGUGUGUGUCUGCGCCGUCACAAGUAUGUUCAAUCAGACUAUGGUGCUAAGCUCAUGUGAUCUGUCCUAGGGUCGUGGGAAGUAGGUAGAAAACCAUGAGUCUGUGGAAGACAUUCCUAGUAGAAGUUAAUUUCCAGAUAAAGCAAGGAGAAUUUGCUUUGGCCCGUCUCAUGAAAGGCAUGUAUGUCAGGU